rnacentral:rRNA from 1 species
AAUGAACGCUGGCGGCGUGCUUAACACAUGCAAGUCGAACGGUAACAGGAGCAGCUUGCUGCUUGCUGACGAGUGGCGCACGGGUGAGUAAUAGAUAGAUAAUGUGCCCCUUAGUCUGGGAUAGCCACUGGAAACGGUGAUUAAUACUAGAUACGCCUUUUUAGCUUAAGCUAAUUUGGGAAAGGUUUUUCGCUAAGGGAUCAGUCUAUCUCCUAUCAGUUAGUUGGUGAGGUAAGAGCUCACCAAGGCAAUGACGGGUAGCUGGUUUGAGAGGAUGAUCAGCCACACUGGAACUGAGACACGGUCCAGACUCCUACGGGAGGCAGCAGUGAGGAAUAUUGCACAAUGGGGGCAACCCUGAUGCAGCAACGCCGCGUGGAGGAUGACGCAUUUCGGUGUGUAAACUCCUUUUAUAAGAGAAGAACAUGACGGUAUCUUAUGAAUAAGCUCCGGCUAACUCCG